GAUGAAGAACGUAGCGAAAUGCGAUAAGUAAUGUAAAUUGCAGAAUUCAGUGAAUCAUCGAAUCUUUGAACGCACCUUGCGCCCUUUGGCCAUUCCGAAGGGCAUGCCUGUUUGAGUAUCAUGAACACCUCAACUCUUCAUGGUUUUCCAUGAUGAGCUUGGACUUUGGGGGUCUUGCUGGCCUGUGGGUCGGCUCCUCUCAAAUGAAUCAGCUUGCCGGUUUUUGGUGGGCAUCACAGGUGUGAUAACUAUCUACGCUUGUGGUUUUCCACCAGGGUAACCUUCAGCAGUGGAGGUUCACUGGAGCUUACAAAUGUCUCUCCUCUGUGAGGACAGCCCUUUGAAUGUUUGAUCUCAAAUCAGGUAGGACUACCCGCUGAACUUAAGCAUAUCAAUAAGCGGAGGA
rnacentral:misc_RNA from 1 species